GAUGAACGCUGGCGGCGUGCCUAAUACAUGCAAGUCGAGCGAACAGACGAGGAGCUUGCUCCUCUGACGUUAGCGGCGGACGGGUGAGUAACACGUGGAUAACCUACCUAUAAGACUGGGAUAACUUCGGGAAACCGGAGCUAAUACCGGAUAAUAUAUUGAACCGCAUGGUUCAAUAGUGAAAGACGGUUUUGCUGUCACUUAUAGAUGGAUCCGCGCCGCAUUAGCUAGUUGGUAAGGUAACGGCUUACCAAGGCGACGAUGCGUAGCCGACCUGAGAGGGGGAUCGGCCACACGGGAACUGAGACACGGACCAGACGCCUACGGGAGGCAGCAGUAGGGAAUCUUCCGCAAUGGGCGAAAGCCUGACGGAGCAACGCCGCGUGAGUGAUGAAGGUCUUCGGAUCGUAAAACUCUGUUAUUAGGGAAGAACAAAUGUGUAAGUAACUAUGCACGUCUUGACGGUACCUAAUCAGAAAGCCACGGCUAACUACGUG
rnacentral:rRNA from 1 species